UACGUAGGGACCAAGCGUUGUUCGGAUUUACUGGGCGUAAAGGGCGCGUAGGCGGCAAUUCAAGUCAGCUGUGAAAUCUCCGGGCUUAACUCGGAACGGUCAGCUGAUACUGCUUUGCUAGAGUGCGGAAGGGGCAAUCAGAAUUCUCGGUGUAGCGGUGAAAUGCGUAGAUAUCGAGAGGAACACCUGAGGUGAAGACGGGUUGCUGGGCCGACACUGACGCUGGGGCGCGAAAGCCAGGGUAGCAAACGGG
rnacentral:rRNA from 1 species